AUUGAACGCUGGCGGCAUGCCUUACACAUGCAAGUCGAACGGUAACAGGUCUUCGGAUGCUGACGAGUGGCGAACGGGUGAGUAAUACAUCGGAACGUGCCUAGUAGUGGGGGAUAACUACUCGAAAGAGUGGCUAAUACCGCAUGAGAUCUACGGAUGAAAGCAGGGGAUCGCAAGACCUUGUGCUACUAGAGCGGCCGAUGGCAGAUUAGGUAGUUGGUGGGAUAAAAGCUUACCAAGCCGACGAUCUGUAGCUGGUCUGAGAGGACGAUCAGCCACACGGGGACUGAGACGCGGCCCAGACUCCUACGGGAGGCAGCAGUGGGGAAUUUUGGACAAUGGGCGCAAGCCUGAUCCAGCAAUGCCGCGUGCAGGAUGAAGGCCUUCGGGUUGUAAACUGCCUUUGUACGGAACGAAAAGCCCCGGGUUAAUACCCUGGGGUCAUGACGGUACCGUAAGAAUAAGCACCGGCUAACUACGUGCCAGCAGCCGCCGUAA
rnacentral:rRNA from 1 species